AUGUCGAUUGUCACUUUUUCCCAUCCGAGAAUCUCCAUCUACUCUAAUUGGGCGAGCUAUAAUCCUUAUGUCAGAUGUGUCUUCGACAACCUGGAGGUUGUUCGGUCUCUGCUUUUGGAGGCGGGAGUUCUUGGUCGUUGGGGUUUCCUUUUCCUCAACCAAUUCGGCUGUGUCAGCCCUGAGAUUGGUUGGUCUAACAUUUAUGAGCAGGCUGGUUGGAAAAAGAUGGAUGGAAGGUAA
rnacentral:lncRNA from 1 species